rnacentral:rRNA from 1 species
UGGGGAAUCUUGGACAAUGGGCGCAAGCCUGAUCCAGCCAUGCCGCGUGAGUGAAGAAGGCCUUCGGGUUGUAAAGCUCUUUUACCAGGGACGAUAAUGACGGUACCUGGAGAAUAAGCCCCGGCAAACUUCGUGCCAGCAGCCGCGGUAAUACGAAGGGGGCUAGCGUUGUUCGGAAUUACUGGGCGUAAAGCGUGCGUAGGCGGCCAUUCAAGUCAGAGGUGAAAGCCUGGAGCUCAACUCCAGAACUGCCUUUGAAACUAGAUGGCUAGAAUCUUGGAGAGGUGAGUGGAAUUCCGAGUGUAGAGGUGAAAUUCGUAGAUAUUCGGAAGAACACCAGUGGCGAAGGCGACUCACUGGACAAGUAUUGACGCUGAGGUACGAAAGCGUGGGGAGCAAACAGGAUUAGAUACCCCAGUAGUCCCUGAGCGGGCUGGCAAGGCGCAU